GACGAACCGUGCGAACGUUGUUCGGAAUCACUGGGCUUAAAGGGCGCGUAGGCGGCCUGAUCAGUCGGGGGUGAAAGCCUGUGGCUCAACCACAGAAUGGCCUUCGAUACUGUCGGGCUUGAGACCGGAAGAGGUAAGUGGAACUGCGAGUGUAGAGGUGAAAUUCGUAGAUAUUCGCAAGAACACCAGUGGCGAAGGCGGCUUACUGGUCCGGAUCUGACGCUGAGGCGCGAAAGCGUGGGGAGCAAACAGG
rnacentral:rRNA from 1 species